rnacentral:rRNA from 1 species
UACGAAGGGGGCUAGCGUUGCUCGGAAUCACUGGGUUUAAAGGGUGCGUAGGUGGUCCGUUAAGUCAGUUGUGAAAUCCCCGGGCUCAACCCGGGAACUGCUUCUGAUACUGGCGGACUUGAGGCCAGUAGGGGUCACUAGAACUGACGGUGGAGCGGUGAAAUGCGUAGAUAUCGUCAGGAAUGCCGGUGGUGAAGACGGGUGACUGGGCUGGUUCUGACACUGAGGCACGAAAGCGUGGGGAGCGAACGGG